AUUUUCUCUGUACAUAAAAGCUUUUCAUCAAAGAUUCUUUUUUCGACGUAUACUUUUACUUGUUAAAUACUGCUGCUUCGCUUAUACUUAUUUCAUACUCCUACUCGGUAAUGCUUUCACUUAUACUUGUAGUCGCUUUUACCUGAUGAAGCUUAUACUUAUUCAUGCUCUUACUUAGUGAUACGAUUCUUCUUCACUUAUACUUGUUAACGACUGUACUUCACUUAUACUUGAUACGCUUUUGCUUCAUUUAUUGUCGCCUCUACUUCGUGAUGCGCUUAUACUUGUUCGACACUUCUACUUCACUUGUUAGACACUUCUACAUCACAAAGAUCACUUCUACUUGAUACACAUUCAGUCGUAGUUAGAUGUAUGUCUGUGCUUAUAUAGGUACAUAUAAGUAAUGAUUGAAAGACUUAGGAAGGCUCGUCUGCCCUAUUUCCUUUUCUUCGUUGAGAUGUGGUCUGGUGGGAUCGGAUGGCCGUCCGAAGGUCGUUUGACUCAUUAGUUAUAUAUUAUGUAUAUGAGUAUGGACAUACAGGAAUUCUCUAGUCAGUUCAGUUAAGAGUCUCUACCUCUAGUCUACACUUACAUUAGAAACCCACUAUUGGGAAGUCUCUACCUCUAGUUCAACACUUACACACUACCCACUAUUUGGAAGUCUCUACCCACUAUUUGGGAUGCAUCUUCAGGACACGGCCUUCUCCGUCGUCUAGUUGGUAACCAGAGUCUCCUGUAGGGAGAGCGGACAUUGUGUGUAUAGAUCUAUACGGGAUUGACAACCCCGCACCCAGACUGCUAGCUACAGUCCCGGCCUACCAAGCCAACGGGUGACAAAUGUCACAUUUUAAACGCUUGUAGGGCGUCUGGAACUCUAGUCAGUAUGGUUACGAGUAUCCCGGGUUACCUUAUAAUUCAUGGGCUUUAAGGUAACGGUAUUUCGCCAGCAAUUUACACUGUAUGCUGGUAAUUCAUUUUCAGAGUCACACUGUUUUGACCUUACAAGACGUAUCUUUCAUUUGAUACUGUCUGGGGUCUGUUUUCUCUGUUUUGACCUUACAAGACGUAUCUUUCAUUUGAUACUGUCUGGGGUCUGUUUUUUCUGUUUUGACCUUACAAGACGUAUCUUUCAUUUGAUACUGUCUGGGGUCUGUUUUUCACUGUUUUAGACCUUACCAGCUGUACCUUUCAUUUGGUACCUUCUGGGGUCUGAGUCUCUACUUGUUAGACUGAACCAGGCGUGUCGUUAGUUCGAUACUCUCCUGGAGUCUAUGAUUCCUUGCCUUAGUCAGCAGUCCUCACUGCUGAGGCAUAUGUUAUUCCCUGAUGUCGUUUGCUUUCCUCAAUAAUCAAAUUCAGUAUUUUGAUAAUGAUAGCAAUUUAGGGAAAAUGACUUUUUACCACAUAACACUGACCAGUCUUGGUAGAAGGCUGCUUUAUUAAAGAAAAUAUAGGAUUUUCUGGAAAGAACUCUAAUACACAGUAAACACUUAAACUACUACUUUAUAAAGUUAUUUGGAUAAAUGUCACUAAAUACUUAUGAACUCACCAGCAUUUGUAAAAAUGCUGAUACUCGCUUUUCAAAUAACUUGUGAUCUCAGGUCAGCAAUUAGACAGGUACAUCUCUGGAGCUGCUGAUGAAGAUAGCUUAGUACCAUGUUGUUCUUAUUAGAUCUACUUGUAUUACUUUAAAUUGUUGCAAUGUAACCAUGUAAAACUAUUACUAAUAAUGCAAUGUUUUGUUGUACUUUGAUUACUAUAAUGCAUGUGUUGUGAUACUUGACAUGACGUCACCCACCCCAGAACGUUUCCGCCGUUCCGGUUUUGGGGUGUGACAGAUUGGUAUCAGAGCAUUGUUUAUAGUGAGCUAAGUAUAUCAAUUCAUAAAAGAUAUACAACCUAUAAACGCAAUGGGAUAAAACACUCUGACCAAGAAUUAUACUUUAAAAUAUAACAAUAUUUUACCAAAGUAUAAUAACAUCCAGAAUCUAAACACUCGAACACAAGUAUCACAAGAAGAACAAGAAUAAAAGUCUUCAGAGGUUGAACCCUAUAGUCAAACCUGGGCAGUUAUGUAAUCAUAAGCUGGAAUAAAUGUAACCUGAUCAACUACAUUUAUUCGAGAUGCGAUGAACGUGUCUCUGACACUUGCCACGUCGUGGCACUGCUUGCCACGUCGUGGUCUCUGACAGUUUUGGGGUUUCGCGCCCCGAACUUUAGAAAUUCAUAACUUUCGCAUACGAACUCCGUUUUCGACGUUCUUUAUAUCGCCGCGAAGGUGAGAUUAUGCUCUACAAAUCUCGUUUAGACUCCAUUGGCUAAUUUUGACUUUAUUUUUUGAUAUAUUAUAAGUAUAUUACUUAUAUAUUAUCUUUAGUAGGCCGGGACAAGAAAACUCCGUUCGAAAUUCAUAACUCCUUAAUUUGAACUCCGAUUCCGUCCGUCUUUCCGUCGUUGCACUACUAUCGAUGAGAUCUUCAAUUCUCAUUUAGAUCACUAAGGAUAGUUAUCUAUCUACCUUAAAUUCACUAUUUACGUCGCGCUGGGUCGUGCCGGUUCUGUCGCGAAACUUCGACAGGUCAUAACUUCUUCGUUAUAACUCGGAUUUCGGCNACCCACUUCAGUGCUUGACAGAAGAGUUGAAGUCGACCCCGAAGAAGUUCAUUGAGGAAAUUUCCUGUUCAGAAAUAAAUGAACUGGGUCGAGACUAUUGAAUACACCAAGUGCCCAUACUCUUUUAGGGACAUCGGUGAGGAAUUCGCCUAAACUUUGGAGAUUCCCAGUCAUCCAUCAUGAAGUGAUGACACCCAGAGCUGGAAUCAGAAGGAAGGCGGAUUAGAAAUUCAAUAUGUCCAUACGAGAAUAGAACACUAGGAAACUACCCGAAGGAAACCAACGCCGAUUCCAGUCAACGACACGAGGCAGACUGGGGGAGCCAGUAUAUGGAACCCGGGAAUUGUCUUUUCCUCGUGUUCGUCACGCUAAUACACCCUUAAAAUAAUACAAUUUAGUGAGUGAGUGGUUGUACUACUCACGCUAGGUGUUAGGUAAAUCAUUGAUUCCCGUUGCCAGACACACGAUUAGGGCGGGUCCCCGCACCUUAUUGAGAGUGCUUAGCCAGGAGCUUUCAUGAGCCUCUCUUUCCGCAGUUCGUUCCGAACCGUUCUCGAAUCUUUCCAGACUGGAGAGUGAAACCUUUACCAGUAUAAGGGUAACUUAGUAGGAAUGACUCGCAUCUUAUGGCCUUUUUCCGAUACUUAUACUCCUACCUUGAUUACCAGGACUACAUCAUAGGGAUGUAGGUCGACGUUCAAACAACCAGUACCCGAGGCACGGGAAAAUUUUAUGCCUAAUGCGAUCGGGACAGAAAUGUCCAGGGUUAACCAUCGUCUCUCAUUACCUUAUAUUCCUUUCCGUGUAGGAAAACCAUGCCACCGGAGAAGCGAAACCAGUCCACAAACAAGAAACCCGCUCUCUUAUUCGAUGAAGCUACGUUUCAAGCUGCAGUCUCGGCAGCAGUAGCAGCUGUCAUGGCUCACCUGAAUGCUAACACCGCCAAUGUUAGCAAGGGCCCGAUCGGGAUUUCCAAUCCUGGCACUGAACAGCAGCAACCAACACUUCCAUGCCCAAUCACCCAAGAACCUCAAACGAACCUACUAAAGAGAAAACUCAAGAUGGAGGAGGGAAGUACCUCGGCCCAAGGACCCUCCGAAGGGCAAACAGCGGACGCAACUCCUGCCAACCCUUCCCUCCCGACUUCAUACAGACCAUAUCUAGGAGACCUUCCCCACUGCGGCAAGUGCAACUACCAUCAUCAUGGUGUCUGUAGGGAACUCCAUUGUCUUAGAUGCAACAGGAAGGGGCACACCUCCCGUACCUGCAGAGCCCCGGUGGAGUUUAUUACACCAACCACUAGCGUAGCAAACAACAUAGUUUGUCACUGAUGUGGUGGAAAAGGACACUUUAAAAGGGAUUGCCCAACUGAAAGAAACAACAAAGGCACAGGAGGAGCCUAACUCUACUGCUUAGGAGGAAACGUCAAGGAACUCGGUAGAUUUUUGGUACGUCCCUCGAUCUCGGAUAGCUAAGCUAAGAACAAUAAAAGACUAAUUCAAAUGCAAAUUCUUUACAGUAAGGCGAAAGUCGCAGCAUUGUUAUAAAAUUUAAAAAUUCAUUAGGUAAAACUAUAAUGGUUAAACAUAUACGUUACGGCCAUGAGUAUUUAAGAUGGACAGACCUAGAGUGAGCGAAUGCCGCCUCAUUUCCUGUUCCUCGUUUGGUUGUGGAUUUAGGGCGGGGUCGCUCAGUCAACAGUCCUCCCCACCUUAAAUAUACAUGACUAGUAUAUGUGAGACGAUUAUAGAAAUGCCUCGUGAGAAUUCGUUCAUGAAAAGAUACUCUAUUCGGAAACACUUAGGACUCUCUAUAGUUCUGCGUCGACUCUAUCGGUCCAAGUAUCCGCGGUAGUGAUACGAAGGACGAAACCCGAGAUGCCUAGAACUUGUGUGCCUGUUCGGCACAUGACUCUAUCGAUCUUCACUUUAUAUCAUGUCGAAGUGUGCCAACUUCAACGACUCUAUCGAUCAUGGUUUGACUUCGUUCAACCAUGUGUUCAUCCUUAGUGCUGUGUAAAAAGAACUUUCUCCAUAGCCAUGUCGGCAAAUAAAGGUUCUUCCGAACCUAAACCUAACACAAAUAAUCAAACCUAAUGCGAUCCGUCAAUCGUCCCUCUUAUCUCAAACCUCUCAAAGUACCCAAGGUAGGGUACCAUACACUGUUGACCGACCCCUCGUAGUCAGAUAAACACCGAAGCGAAAGACACUGCAGAUACUUCAGGAAACGACAACCAUCCGAAGCGAACCUCUUAGAUUCCCCCGGGAGAUCCUUCGCACCUCGCACAUCAGGUUCGUGAACCCAGAGAAUAGAACUCACGAGGCUGACCACUAUAACUAGGUAUACACUGGCAUACAUCAAGUAUUGGCGGUUAAGCCAAGCAUGAGUUCUACCACGAACCUCUUAGCAAGACACUUUCACCCUAUUCCAUAACAUAGGAGCCGGAGUCAAGAAAAUCUCUGCGGGUUGAGCAAGUAAAGUUCCGAGUGAUGAACCAUAUACCCACUAGAUUUGACCUAGAUCGAGACAACUCAGAACCUUCAGAAGAGUAGUUGCAGUAGAUGCUCUAACUACUCAGGCACCUUGCCCACCCUGUUAUAGACAGGUAGUGCCUAUCACCCUCCACCCUCUUGCAUGGAGGAAAUCGUUGUCGCUCUGUAUACGAUGAAAUACAUUCUCCGAAGUGAACACUAGGAUACCAAGAACCGCAGGAUAACCUUCGCAGCCGAGAAUAUUUGGUCAAGUGUGAAAGUAGUUGCGUUAAAUCUCAUGACCCGGAUCCUGAAGAGAUCAUAGGCUUGACACCAGCCCUGGUGUUAGUCGAAGGGUUAUGCAGGAACAUACACUUUCCACGCUAGAAUAAAACACAGUCUUAGAGAUUCCUUGGNCAGUCUUAGACUUGGACUAUUAGGUUUUUCCCGGAAUACAAUCCACGCAGAGAUAGUAGAACCACCUCCCGAGGUAGUCCAAACACUCGUCUAGUGAAACCCUAUUUCCCCGAUCCUCAGGGUUUCCAUAUCUCAAGCGUCGUUAGUGCAGGUCCAUUUUGCACGAGUUUGGGAUAGACACUCUAUAGCAAACAGAUAACCAUAGUCACGCAACCCACUAGACGAUCUACAAAAUCCUUAUCAGCCAGUUGACGGGAAACGCGAAACCAAAGAUAACCCGAGCUUCCUAAGAACUAACCUGAAGGACUACACAUCCAGUACAAGUGAGAAUGAUAGGAACUUCGGAAUGGUGAUCACGCUAGUGUUGAUCUUGCCAUAGAAGUACACUAUGUCCUAAGUGCUGAAAUGCUCUACCCUCCCGAGAGCUUAGGACCAUAUGAGAAUUCUCAUGGAGACUUGGUCCAACCCUUUUCAAGCCGCUACUACCUUCGGAUAUGCCACAAGAUUCACACCCGAUCGAUCCACUUCUUAGACUUGAUACGUGAUUUCCAGACAACAAUUUUCGUACCUCACCCAUCUUGAUAGAAACCAUUGAGGACCCUGACUUCAUAGAUACACCAGUCGGAACCCGCUAGCUACACGAGACGGAAUUCGCAUCCCGUACGUGAAGGUCUGUUGGAAUGGCAAACACAGAUUAGAGUUCACUUGGGAAUGCGAGGACAACCGUAUAGGAAGUACUCCCUUACCUCUACUUGGCCAUUCAUACCUACUUCAUUGCCUAGACCUGAAUUUCGGGACGAAAUUCCCUCUAACGGGGGGAUGAUGUGACAAUCCAAGUUGUUCCGUUACAUUUCCCCGUUACCGUUAACGGAAUAUUCCACUGUAUAAAAGUUCCGUUACUUAGAGGGCGUCAAUUUAAUAAACAUUCUAGUUGGUUGCAAUUAACAUACCAUUAAGUCGUGAUAAAAGGAAAUAAAAACACAGGACACAUUUCCAUUUAUUUGGAAAAUGUCAAGUUUUAUUAUUACGACCACUAAAUCGGGUGCGACCAAAAGCCCCGUUUAACGGUAGUAUCGGGUAAAAUCCCACUGAGCCCCGACUCAAAACCCUAUAUAAGGGUGAGUGGAGUCUAUUGGAGACUUUUUACACUCUCUCUCUAUACUCUCUCUCUAGACCCGUUUUCGCCCCGAAUCCGCAACCAAACGCUUCCAAAUUGUAAGUCCGCUUACCCUAGCUUGUUCUAAACAUUACUAGCUGUAGUUGUAGCCCAAAAAUCACAAGAUUGAGACAUGAAAAAGGAGUUUACGGCCUAAGUGCAUCCUUAGGCCGUAAACCCCCAAAUGGUGGCCAAAACGACCCAAACUUGUCCCUAAUGGCUAGGAAAUAAAUUAAGGUAUUAGCCUAGGAGUGUUUAAACAUUAAAACUCAAAGAAUUGGGGCAUAAAAAUGAGUUUACGGCCCAAGCACAUGCUCAGGCCGUAAACCCCUCAAAACCUUGUCUAAAUGCCUCCAAAACACUCCCAAACCACACUAGGGCUUAACACAUAAAUUAAGGGCGUAGUUCUUUGGCUUUAGAUCACUUAAACACAUCAAAAUGAAGGAAAAAAAUGAGUUUACGGCCCAGGUCUAUACCAAGGCCGUAAACUCCCCAAAACAUGCCCAAAAAUGUGGUUUUUGUCCCCCAAAUGACCUUAGGCUAUUUCUAUAAAAUGCUAGGAAGGAUUUAAGGACUCAAACUCAUGAAAUGGUGGGGUAAAAAGGAGUUUACGGCCCAAGCUAGUGUCUAGGCCGUAAACUCCCUAAAACACAUGCAAAUGUUAGAUUUAAUCCCCCAAAAUAGCAUCACACUUCAUUAGAAAUUGCUAGAAAGGUAAUAGGGGCUUGAAACUUCACAAAACACUAAGGGUGAGAGUUUACGGCCGUAAACUCCCUUAGGAGUGUCCCUAGGCCGUAAACUCCAAGUUAGUGCCCUUAGAAGCCUCAAACCCACUUAUGCCUUUUGGGAUAAGUGCUUAGAAUAAUUCCAUGAUGCAAGUAGAAGCCUUAAACACAUUAGAACUCAUCACCAUGAGUUUACGGCCGUAAACUCAUGGUGAGAAGUCCCUGGGCCGUAAACUAUGUAUUAAGGGGGUAUUCUUGGAUAGCAAACUCCAUUCCUUAGCCAUUCACACCCUUAAACGCUACCCGGGACACCCAAACACUUAGCCAAAGUGUUUUUCCGCUCCUGUGAGCGCGUAUAUUUGUUUAAUUAGUAUUAAAUGUGCUAAUUACAUGUAAACAUAUGUUAUCAUAUGUUAAAUAGGUCAUUGUGUGUGUUCAAGUCCUUGCGGGACACCGAACGCCCAAACGGCACCUUCGUCGGACCUACUUACACCAGGUGAGUUCAUACCCCUGAAUGAACCUUUUAAAUGCUUUUAAAUGUUUUUAUAAGGGGGGAUUACAAGUUAAACAUGCCAGUUAUCAUAUCAAUCACAUGUGAUUGAUAACCCGCAUGCACAAGAUUUUACCACUUUACACUGUUUUACCGAGUAGGACAUUAUAAUGAUUUUACUUAUUUCAUAACUUUUACUUAUACCGAUUUAUCCAAAUUCAUUCCAAAUUGGUUUAUGAAAGAUUCUCUAAGGUUGUUAAACAUAUUUGACAAAAUAAUACAAUUUGUGAUUUUCUCUGUACAUAAAAGCUUUUCAUCAAAGAUUCUUUUUUCGACGUAUACUUUUACUUGUUAAAUACUGCUGCUUCGCUUAUACUUAUUUCAUACUCCUACUCGGUAAUGCUUUCACUUAUACUUUUAGUCGCUUUUACCUGAUGAAACUUAUACUUAUUCACGCUCUUACUUAGUGAUACGAUUCUUCUUCACUUAUACUUGUUAACGACUCUACUUCACUUAUACUUGAUACGCUUUUGCUUCAUUUAUUGUCGCCUCUACUUCGUGAUGCGCUUAUACUUGUUCGACACUUCUACUUCACUUGCGACCGCUUCUACUUCACUUGUUAGACACUUCUACAUCACAAAGAUCACUUCUACUUGAUACACAUUCAGUCGUAGUUAGAUGUAUGUCUGUGCUUAUAUAGGUACAUAUAAGUAAUGAUUGAAAGACUUAGGAUGGCGCGUCUGCCCUAUUUCUUUUUCUUCGUUGAGAUGUGGUCUGGUGGGAUCGGAUGGUCGUCCGAAGGUCGUUUGACUCAUUAGUUAUAUAUUAUGUAUAUGAGUACGGACAUAUAGGAAUUCUCUAGUCAGUUCAGUUAUGAGUCUCUACCUCUAGUCUAUACUUACAUUAGAAACCCACUAUUGGGAAGUCUCUACCUCUAGUUCAAUACUUACACACUACUCACUGUUUGGGAGUCUCUACCCACUAUUUGGGAUGCAUCUUCUGGACACGGCCUUCUCCGUCGUCUAGUUGGUAACCAGAGUCUCCUGUAGGGAGAGCGGACAUUGUGUG
rnacentral:lncRNA from 1 species